rnacentral:rRNA from 1 species
GACGAACGCUGGCGGCAUGCCUAAUACAUGCAAGUCGAGCGAACAGAUGAAGUGCUUGCACUUCUGACGCUAGCGGCGAACGGGUGAGUAACACGUAAGGAAUCUGCCUAUAAGCGGGGGGUAACAUUCGGAAACGGGUGCUAAUACCGCAUAAUAUCUUCUUCCGCAUGGAAGAAGAUUGAAAGACGGCUCUGCUGUCACUUAUAGAUGACCUUGCGGUGCAUUAGUUAGUUGGUGGGGUAACGGCCUACCAAGACGAUGAUGCAUAGCCGACCUGAGAGGGUGAUCGGCCACAAUGGGACUGAGACACGGCCCAAACUCUUACGGGAGGCAGCAGUAGGGAAUCUUCCGCAAUGGGCGAAAGCCUGACGGAGCAAUGCCGCGUGAGUGAAGAAGGCCUUCGGGUCGUAAAACUCUGUUAUAAGAGAAGAACAAAUUGUAGAGUAACUGCUACAGUCUUGACGGUAUCUUAUCAGAAAGCCACGGCUAACUACGUGCCAGCCGCCGCCGUAA